AAUAGUAUGGUUUAGAGGGAAUAAUGGUUAUUUUGGAGUUAGAAGACAUGGGUUCUAAUCCCAAUUCUCUUA
rnacentral:tRNA from 1 species